rnacentral:rRNA from 1 species
AGUGAACGCUGGCGGUAGACCUAACACAUGCAAGUCGAACGGCAGCACAGUAAGAGCUUGCUCUUACGGGUGGCGAGUGGCGGGCGGGUGAGGAAUACAUCGGAAUCUACUUUUUCGUGGGGGAUAACGUAGGGAAACUUACGCUAAUACCGCAUACGACCUACGGGUGAAAUCAGGGGAUCUUCGGACCUUUCGCGAUUCAAUUAGCCGAUGUCGGAUUAGCUAGUUGGCUGGGUAAGGGCCCACCAAGGCGACGCUACGUAGCUGGUCUGAGAGGAUGAUCAGCCACACUGGAACUGAGACACGGUCCAGACCCCUACGGGAGGCAGCAGUGGGGAAUAUUGGACAAUGGGCGCAAGCCUGAUCCAGCCAUACCGCGUGGGUGAAGAAGGCCUUCGGGUUGUAAAGCCCUGUUGUUGGGAAAGAAAAGCAGCAGGUUAAUACCCCGCUGUUCUGACGGUACCCAAAGAAUAAGCACCGGCUAACUUCGUG